GCAUGAAUGGUUAUUAAUUGUUAGCUAUAAAAAUCUUUUUUUAAAUUUGUUCAUCUUUAACAGGAGCACUUAUUCUUUGUGAUGGAGUAUCUGAAUGGAGGAGACUUGAUGUUUCAUAUACAGGAAAAGGGGCGUUUUGAUCUGUACAGAGCCACGUUCUAUGCAGCUGAGAUAGUGUGUGGCCUGCAAUUUCUCCAUUCCAAAAGCAUUAUUUACAGGGAUCUCAAACUGGAUAAUGUGAUGUUAG